AAAUUGAAGAGUUUGAUCAUGGCUCAGAUUGAACGCUGGCGGCAGGCCUAACACAUGCAAGUCGAACGGUAACAGGAAGCAGCUUGCUGCUUCGCUGACGAGUGGCGGACGGGUGAGUAAUGUCUGGGAAACUGCCUGAUGGAGGGGGAUAACUACUGGAAACGGUGGCUAAUACCGCAUAACGUCGCAAGACCAAAGAGGGGGACCUUCGGGCCUCUUGCCAUCAGAUGUGCCCAGAUGGGAUUAGCUUGUUGGUGAGGUAACGGCUCACCAAGGCGACGAUCCCUAGCUGGUCUGAGAGGAUGACCAGCCACACUGGAACUGAGACACGGUCCAGACUCCUACGGGAGGCAGCAGUGGGGAAUAUUGCACAAUGGGCGCAAGCCUGAUGCAGCCAUGCCGCGUGUAUGAAGAAGGCCUUCGGGUUGUAAAGUACUUUCAGCGGGGAGGAAGGUGUUGCGGUUAAUAACCGCAGCAAUUGACGU
rnacentral:rRNA from 1 species